rnacentral:tRNA from 1 species
UCUAAUAUGGCAGAUCAAGUGCAAUAGAUUUAAGACCUAUAAAUAAAGAUUAAAAUUAUGAUCUUUUAUUAGAA